rnacentral:rRNA from 1 species
GACGAACGCNGGCGGCGUGCUUAACACAUGCAAGUCGAACGAAGAGCGAUGGAAGCUUGCUUCUAUCAAUCUUAGUGGCGAACGGGUGAGUAACGCGUAAUCAACCUGCCCUUCAGAGGGGGACAACAGUUGGAAACGACUGCUAAUACCGCAUACGAUCUAACCUCGGCAUCGAGGAUAGAUGAAAGGUGGCCUCUACAUGUAAGCUAUCACUGAAGGAGGGGAUUGCGUCUGAUUAGCUAGUUGGAGGGGUAACGGCCCACCAAGGCGAUGAUCAGUAGCCGGUCUGAGAGGAUGAACGGCCACAUUGGGACUGAGACACGGCCCAGACUCCUACGGGAGGCAGCAGUGGGGAAUCUUCCGCAAUGGACGAAAGUCUGACGGAGCAACGCCGCGUGAGUGAUGACGGCCUUCGGGUUGUAAANGUCUGUUAAUCGGGACGAAAGNCCUUCUUGCGAAUAGUUAGAAGGAUGACGUACC